rnacentral:ncRNA from 1 species
AGCCUUUACAUCAACUAUUACCCGUCUUACACAUGCAAGUAUCUGCACUCCCGUGAAAACGCCCUCAAUCCCUCACUCAGGACGAGGAGCUGGUAUCAGGCACAACUCAUAGCCCACGACACCUAGCCACGCCACACCCACAAGGGUAUUCAGCAGUGAUAAACAUUGAUAAUAAGCGCCAGCUUGAAUCAGCCAGGGUAGAGAGAGCCGGCAAAUCCGGUGCCAGCCGCCGCGGCUACACCGUUGGGCUCAAGUUGAUGAAUUCCGGCGUUAAGCGUGAUUAAAGUUAUAUUAUAAAUUAGAGUUGAACUAUAACCAAGUCGUGACACACUUGUUACCAAGAAACCCAGAAACGAAAGUUACUCUAACACAUCCACUUGACACCACGACAGCUAAGACACAAACUGGGAUUAGGUACCCCACUAUGCUUAGCCGUAAAACAUUCAUUUACACCACAAAUCGCCAGGGAAUUACGAGCCCAAGCUUAAAACCCAAAGGACUUGACGGUGCCCCACCCACCUAGAGGAGCCUGUUCUAUAAUCGAUUCUCCCCGAUAAACCUCACCAUUUUUAGCUAUCUCAGCCUGUAUACCUCCGUCGCAAGCUUACCAUGUGAACGAAACUAGUGAGCUAAAUGGUCACUUCACCAACACGUCAGGUCAAGGUGCAGCUCACGAAAUGGAAAGAAAUGGGCUACAAUUUCUACAAUAGAACAAACGAAGAACUGCAUGAAACACAGUUAUGAAGGCGGAUUUAGCAGUAAAAAGAAAACAGAGAGUUCUUUUUAAUAAGGCGCUGGGACGCGUACACACCGCCCGUCACCCUCUUCAAAUGC